CCUCACCAUCCUUGGGUUUGGAAGGAGGCGUGGGGACAUCAUUGUGUGAACACUGCUCCCUGACACGAGCAGUUUCCCAGGAAAGAAAAGCCUGCAGCUCAUUCCGCUGAUUGCCAGACUUCAUUCCACUAUGGACAAUGAGACAUACAGACCUGAACUUCUAUUAAGACCCUCCUGGGAAGUCAAACGGGCUUGUUUCUCCUCUUGACAUUGCUAAUGAUCUUCAGAAGUGGAUGCCGUUUGAUACUGGUUUGGGGCCUCCUCAUCGCAGAUCAAACAGAUCGCACUUUCUACUGGACGCUGACGGAGGGGCUCACCUCACUCCUGUUAGGCAUUUAGCUUUCUUCAAGAGAUGGAAAGAGCGGAAACAUCCUUUAUAGCAAUAAAAAUAAAAGCAGGGAUUCUCCCUUAAACACUUGGAUCUGCAACUUGAAGCUAUAUGGAAAAAUCUCAGCUGUCACGUGGCCCCUGAUUAAAUUACAGUGCAACCAUAAUGCCUCUUCCUUCCUGCACCCACAGAGAGCAUGUCAUAAACGUGCCUGAGGUAUGGAGAAAGUCUGUCAGCUCGAAUGUCUGUUGUGGCACGACAAGUGAAAGCACCGGACUUUCUGUGUUGAAGACAGAGCAGCUUAGAGGUAGGAUGAAGUCCUCUAUGGACAAGGUGACACCAUGCAUGGUUCUGCUGCCAGCAGCGGUGCUGGAGCCCUGGGACACCGCCUGCACUGCCUGCUGAGAAAACCUGCCCCAAUGCAUGGAGGCGUAGCAGGGAAGUCAGUACCUGGCUCUUCCCUAGCACAGGUAUGCUUGUGAAGACGUAUCUGCUCCUUUUCCUUCUCUACAUCUGGCCAGAAAACCAAAGACAAGUAUAUGAGGGAACAAAGUGCUUUUUGUGUGGCCACAGUUAGGCCACUGUAAGGUAUGGGAUUCAGGUCAAGACCCUUAAAUGUAGGUGUCUACCUGCAGGUGCCUGUGUGAGCACUUGUUGUCUAAACUCACAUUAUAGUCACUGGAGAUCAGGUCCAUGGAGCCUGGACAAUGGUAUCUCUUACUGCAAAUCCGGGUAAAUUGUCCUCUCGUCUGAAUCAUUCCUUAGGCCACGUAGCCUGCAUUGUCUAGGGAUGGCUUCAGUGUCCUAAACACAUGCACAUCGCACCAUCUGAGAAGUCCUAGGAGGCCCCCGUGGGUCUCCAGCUGCUGAACCAGAAGAACAAAUCUCUGCAGGCACCAUGGUGUGUCUACAAGCCCUCUGCAGGCAUCUCGAGGUCCUGGAAAUGGCACUCAGCAACUCUUUGUUGCAAUUUUGGUUGGGGAACCAAACUGAUGCCUAAAACUGCGCUGAAUAUGGUGGGAGUUUAUACACAGUCUAAACGUGGAGACAUAAAAUUUAGGCUUCUUAAUCUGAAGUUAUAUCUUACCGUUAACCACACUUUCACCAGCACCAUCCAGCAAAGCACAGGGUAUGACUGCUGUGCUUAAAUGAAACGCGUUGCAUUUGUCAGGGGAGGUAAGAGACUUCCCAGACAAAUCUCUCUCUCCUUGGAGCAGGCAAUCCUUUGUAACCAAUCUACUUCCAGUCCUGACUGCUGGAUGAUUUUCAGAUGUGAGGUGGCAAAUGGAAAACCUCUGCGCUUUACCAGGACAGGGGAGCAGGGGGUCUGGCCACUUUGCUUGUCCCACCAGAAGCUAGGGGACUUGCAGGCACAGGUGCUCUGCUCUGCUGUGCCCUUGUCUCCCCCUGCAGCUUGCCGAGUGCCUCAUAAAGUCUCAAUUUUUCACUCAGCCACCUGUGGACAAAUCUGUGUGUGUGUGUGCCGGUGGAGAGAGAAGUGGCGUUUGACUUUCUCCAGCCUUCAGCUUCACGUCACUGCACGUAAAGCAAACCUCCAGAUCAUUUAUUUCUGGGCUUAUUCUUUGAUUCCCAGAGUUUUGAUUUAAUCUUAAAAUAUUUUAAUAAUUUCCUUGGCAAAUGACACUGAAAUUGGACAGAUGGUUUAAACUUAGCUCUUUUCCCUGGAGAAAAGCUGCUCAAUUAAAACAACCGUAGCUUUCACACAUUCAAUUCAUCCUUAUCAGCCUGCCCCAAUUAAUCCUCUAAAUGCACUGUUACAUAAGGUGGGAUCCUUUCUCCCUCAUUUACUUUUCCACCUUGUCACCAUUUCCUGGGUACUGGCUCACCUGCACGGUGUCACAGGGAGCGGAGACAAAGCCCCGUUGUCCUCCCUGCCGAGGCAUGUGAAAUUCCCAAGGUACGGCUGUCAGACAAAACAUCAGCUGCCACGCUCACGCUUUCCCUCUCUGACGUUAUUUUUCUCCGCGGGUGAAUGAUCUUUGCAAAUCCUUAAAACGGCAAAAUUAAAUUCCUAUUACGCUGCUUUCUGCUUGGCCAGAUAAUCCCUUCCUGCCCCCGGUGCUUGGCUUACGUGGGGCUGGCUGCUUGCGGAAGUGCGUGGCUGUGUGUUGGAGGAGCACAGUUUGUUUAGCUAUAGAAAGGGAAAAAAUCAGAUUUGGGCUCAACAAGAUUGGAGUAAAUGGUCAUGACAAAUCCCGCUGGAGACCGGGAGAUCUAACACUGUUGGUCUUGCCCUCUGUGGUGCUGCCUGCAUGGCUUCGCUCCGCUGCGGUGUUAAGGACCAUGGUCUGGAUUUAAUAGGUCUCAACAUCCAUCAGUCAUAGGACAUAACUUGGGAACAAUCCGAAUGUCCCCGAAGCUGUGGGAUAGUGGGACUUCAAGGUUUAUUUCUGGAACAUCUCUGCAGCAAUGUGAGCGACAUGAGGGUUGUAGCUGACAUUUCCUCCACCAAGGGGUCAGUCCACAAGAGGCAAAGUCACGUUACGGGGACAUUGUUGUGGCUGCGGCAGAUUAGGUCGGUUUGGGGAAUGGUUGUGCUGCUGCUUUUGUGAGCAAUGUGAUUCAGACAGCAAAUAAGGGUGACUUUCUGCCUUGAGGAGAACUGACCCAAGUCCCAUGGCUGUGCCCCUGAGGAGGGGUGAUGAGCAGGUCUGGGAGCAGCUAGGCCCACAAACCGGCCUGACCCAAAUUCACCUGCUCUGAAAGGGAUGCUCAGGUGGGAUGGACCCUGUGGGGUCUUCUCCUUCCACCUACCUCAUUUGGCCAUAGCUGAGCCCUGCUGCAAGCACGGCCCAAGCAGGUGGCUGUGCAGGCAGAGAAGUCUGCUCCCAGAUGGCAUCUUCAGCCACGCUGGUUCUCCUCAAAGCACUACAGACCAGGCAUCUUGUACUUACCUGUUACUGCUCCAGACGUGAUGUAUAGGGCAGCAAAACCUUAUAUAUGAAGGACUUUGAAGCUGGUCCUGCUUUGAGCAUGAGGUUGGACUGGGGACCUCCAUGGAGUCCCUUCCAGCUUGAAUUUUUCCAGCCUGAAUGAUUCUGCAGACAGGAAAUAUUGAGUGCAAUUAUCCCUUUAACAUUUGCGUUGACAAGGACGAUCACCAGGAAAUGCCAAACAAAUUCCACUCUAUUUUUCGUCUAAAUAAGUGAAUAGAAUAAGACAAUCUGCUUUGCGUGUUUAUUUAAAGGCCUUCCUAGUGUUUUGGUUUUGUUUUUGUUGUUUGUUUUCCUGAAUAAUUCCUUUGGCUGCAAAUUGUACCGAGCAAUUGGCUGUAUGGUGAGAGGAAAAAAAAACGGUCUUUUAAAAAAAAUUGAAUUUUUCUUUGGAUUCUACUGUAAUUACAAUAAAAUUUUGUUAGCUUCCUGGAAAAUAACUUUUUUUUUUUUUCUUUUUCUGGAGCACUAUUUAAUUUAACGUCAGUUGAGAGCAUAUUUGAAUGUUGAGUCAUGAAAGCAGAAGAUGAAUAUUCUGUUUGAAACUGAAGAGAUUUGUGCAGACCCACUGAAAAGCAGCAAAGUGUAUGGCUCUUUUACUCAAUCUCUAUUUCAAAAAGAAAAACUUAUCUAGUAAUACUGGAAGCUAGAAAUAGAAACAAUUUCUUGACAGGACUUUUUUUUUUUUUUCACUAUUGUUUGUUUUUCCAGUGCUAUAUCCAAGGCAGCAAUUUAAUUUGGAAAGUAAUGGAAGAUUGCUUACCUGGGGAAUUAUUCCACUGCUUCAUUCUCCGGGAAUUCUUCUGGGUAUUCAGGGAAAUUUCAGGACCUCUUAAUUCCUUCCAGUUAUUUCCAGAUUUAUUUCUGCGUAUCACGUACUAAAUCAUUAAUAUCCAUAAAUGGCAUGUACUUGAAGAAAAAAAACAAAAACAUAGCAAAGCUCCAUGGCCCAAGACAUCUGUAGGCUUUUCCAGGAUUUCUGUGUGUACAUGUUACUUGGAAAUGUGUAGUCACUGAGUUUCCAUAAAUCUAAGCAUGCACGCAAAACUUCUUCGCAGUCAAAAGCCUGAUGCCAUUAUGUCUAGGCAAUAUGCUAGCGGGAUAUCUUUGUCAUUAAAAAUGGGGAAUCAUAAGAAUAUGAAUUGAAAUAUUUAUCUUAUUUUUAUUAUUCUUGUGGAUUCUUCUCUUUUGGUAAAGAUGUUUUGACCUAAAUUUUCCCUACUAGAGUUCCCAUUACCACAUUGAAUCAAAACACUCACUUUUUGUGUCUCAGGCUCUUCAUCUAUGGAGAAAUUAUCUCCUGGCCAUGGAAUAAUUUUAGGUUCAGCAAAGGCUUUGGGGUCCCCUGUGAAGUGUUUUGAAGGUAUGAAGCAUUCUUUCUGUUAUCAGGAUAACCGACUUGCAAAUAUUUGUAAAUAAAUGAAUGAAAAUGCA